GGGAAUGUAGCUCAGUGGUAGAGUGCUUACCUAGCAUGCAUGAGGCCCUGGGUUCUAUCCCCAGUACUA
rnacentral:tRNA from 1 species